rnacentral:rRNA from 1 species
UACAGAGGCUCCAAGCAUUACCCCGGAAUCACUGGGCGUAAAGGGUGUCUAGGCGGCCAUAUUAGUCUCUCGUUAAAUGUCCGGGCUCAACCUGGUCACUGCGAGGGAAACGGUAUGGCUCGAGGGCGUAAGAGGUGCAUGGAACUCAUGGUGGAGGGGUGAAAUCCGUUGAUAUCAUGGGGAACACCAAAGGCGAAGGCAGUGCACUGGUACGUUCCUGACGCUCAAACACGAAAGCCAGGGUAGCGAAU